rnacentral:ncRNA from 2 species
AAAGUGAGUAGAAGCGGUCAGUGCGGGAACUCCGCGCGGGACAUUGCUCAGCAA